rnacentral:tRNA from 1 species
GGAGGGGUGACCGAGUGGUCGAAGGUGCACGAUUGGAAAUCGUGUGUACCUCACGGUACCGAGGGUUCGAAUCCCUCCUCCUCCG